ensembl:lncRNA
AAUGACAAAAAUAGCCAAAAAAAUAAACACAAAACUAAUGAUUCGGAAAGUAUAUAUAGUAUACAAAAAAAUUUAACACAGAGCAGUAGUAACGUUCAGAAUGUUGAAGAUACAAACACAAACAUUCAGCAAAAUCCAUAUAAACACAAGUCGAACAAUAGGAUUUAUAAUAAUACAAGUACAGACGAUAUAAGCGACUCUGACACAGACAAUGAAUAUAAAACUAAACAAAACCGACACCAAUUAACCACACCAAACACAUAUAAAAAAAACGAUAAAAAAAAAAAAAAAAACAAGGACCAAAAAAAUGAAAAAAAAAAUUAUAUAUGUAAAAAAAUGCUCUCAAUUCUACAAUACUGGUUUUCACAAUCGACGAAAAAUAACAAAAAUGAUACUGACAAUAUGAAUAAAUCAAGUAAAAAAAAAAAAAAAAAUCAUUUAAAAAAAAAAAAAAAAAAACCACAACAUGCACAACAUAUACGAAGUGGGUUUAUGCAUGUUCGAAACAGAGAAACGGGGAAUACUACAACGGAGCUUACAACGGAGCUUACAACUGACGCAACAACGGACGCAACAACUGACGCAACAACUGACCUAACAACUGAUCCAACACAAAACCAAUUACAAAACCAAUUACAAAACAACAGUUCGGAUUAUAAUAAAAACUUUAAAUCCGAAAAAAAAAAGAACAAACAAGAAGAAAACUAUUGUUCAACUAUUUACACUAAACAAAUACAACAACAAAAAAAAAAUAACGAAAAUGUAAAAAUAAUAAAAGAAGUUAAAGACGAAUAUGUAAAUACACAAAAUAAAUAUAAAAAAACGGUUGAACAAAAUUCUCAAUCUAAUGAAUGGUUCCAAAAUAAUACAUGUGAUAGUUCUACUCUUAACAAGUUACAAUUGAAUCAUUCUCUUAAUCUCUCAAUUAAAAAUGAUUCAAAACAAAAUAGAAUGAAAAUAAUAAGUAGUAUGAUAUAUUAUUUUAGUUUACAUGAGUAUACAUUUAUUGUAUUUAACCACAGGUCAGGUACGUCUUUAAAUACACACCUAGAAAAAGACACUAUACAAAUAUGUAAAAGAUUGUCAAAAUUAGCCAUGUAUAAAAAACAAAAAAUAUUAACAAACUUAAUCAAAAAUCUAAAAUAUUGGCGUAAAAAUCAUUGCAGACAAUGUGAUUAUUGUAAAAGUAAUACAAAUCUUUUUAACAUAAACAAAACAUAUUAUUCAAAUUAUGAUCAUAAACAAAGUUAUUUAUACAAUAUAAACAAUAACAAUACUUUAUACAACAUUCCAAGUAGUAAUACUGAUAAAAAAAUAAAUAUGUGUGUACAUCAAAGAGAUAUACAACAUAAACUUUGUAAUACUAGUUGCCAUAAUUCCUGUACAAACACAUAUACUGAAAAAAAAAACGAGCCACAUAUUCUUACCACUCCGAUCACAAUCACCAAUAACACUGUCAAUGGUACUGCAAACAAAACUAAGACACUUAUACGGGACCAACAAAAUAACGAUAUUAUUAAUAUUUUUAAAAAACAAAAUAAUAAUUAUAAAAACAAAACAUCAACAAAUGUUUUUUAUAAAACUAUUAACACAAAUGUUAAUGAUAGCGUUUUAAUGUAUAUUGCAAAACAAAAAAUGAAAGAAAAAAUGAAUAAUACUCCUUAUACUGGAAUUGGAACUGCAGCUAUAGCUGGAGCUGGAGCUAUAACUCAAACUGCAGUUGGAACUGUAACUGGUAAUUAUAACAAUUCCAUUAAUAUUAAUAACAUUACAUGUAAUAAAUGUAAUAUAUGCAAUUGUAAUAACAUGAAUUUAAACACAAGCUUUAAACAUUCGAUUUUAUGUAACCCUAUUUUUAAAUACAAACAAAAACCACUCAUAUUUUUAUUUGUUAAUAAUAAUAAAAAUAUUAUGAAUGUUAAAGAAAUAAAUAAAAUUAAAAAAUAUGCACGAGAAUGUAAUGGUUUUAUAAAACUAAAAAAUUUUAACAAAAAUGAUUUGUAUGAAUUUGUCAGCUUAUGUUUUAAUAUACCUAUCGAUCAAAUUAAUAAACAACUAAUUAAUUACCUUGAUCAAACUUGCUUUGGUAUUCCCAAAUUUGUACAAUACACUUUAUUUUAUAUUUUUAAAAAUAAAUAUAUAAAACUUUAUCGAUAUGUUAUAAAAGAGGAAGACUACAAUGGCGAUUACAAUAACACAGUUGAAGGGGUCAACAAGAGAGAGGGAGAAGAAGGAGAAGGAGAAGGAGGAGAGGGCGAAAUAACAACAGAAGAACUAAACGACAUUCAAAAAAAAUAUGCAAAUAAUAACAUAAAAAAUUAUCAUAAAGAUAACGAAAGUGACAACUUAUUGAAUACACCUGUUGUACAAAAUAAUAGUUAUAAAAAUAAUAUACUAAAAUCUGAUGAU